rnacentral:rRNA from 1 species
AUUGAACGCUGGCGACAUGCCUUACACAUGCAAGUCGAACGGCAGCACGGGUGCUUGCACCUGGUGGCGAGUGGCGAACGGGUGAGUAAUACAUCGGAACAUGUCCUGUAGUGGGGGAUAGCCCGGCGAAAGCCGGAUUAAUACCGCAUACGAUCUACGGAUGAAAGCGGGGGACCUUCGGGCCUCGCGCUGUAGGGUUGGCCGAUGGCUGAUUAGCUAGUUGGUGGGGUAAAGGCCUACCAAGGCGACGAUCAGUAGCUGGUCUGAGAGGACGACCAGUCACACUGGGACUGAGACACGGCCCAGACUCCUACGGGAGGCAGCAGUGGGGAAUUUUGGACAAUGGGCGAAAGCCUGAUCCAGCAAUGCCGCGUGUGUGAAGAAGGCCUUCGGGUUGUAAAGCACUUUUGUCCGGAAAGAAAUCCUUGGCCCUAAUACGGUCGGGGGAUGACGGUACCGGAAGAAUAAGCACCGGCUAACUACGUG